AGCUCCAAUAGCGUAUACUAACGUUGUUGCAGUUAAAAGCUCGUAGUUGGAUUUCUGUGUUGGUGAGGCGGCCGGCCACUCGUGGUUGUAGCUAGUUAUCACCGACGCAUCUUGUCACAAUCCUGUCUGGCCUUCACUGGUUGGAUAUGGGGACUGACUCGUUUACUUUGAGAAAAUUAGAGUGUUCAAAGCAGGCUAUCGCCUUGAAUAUAUUAGCAUGGAAUAAUGAUAUAGGACUUUGGUUCUAUUUUGUUGGUUGUUCGAGAACCGAAGUAAUGAUUGAUAGGGACAGUUGGGGGCAUCAGUAUUCUGAAGCGAGAGGUGAAAUUCUUGGACCUUCGGAAGACUAACAGCUGCGAAAGCGUUUGCCUAGGAUGUUCUCU
rnacentral:rRNA from 1 species